ACUUUUCAUGAUUGGAUUCUGCUUGACCUGUUCCCUUAGCAAUUUAUUUCUGAUAUUCUUGGGAAUAGGGUAGACUGUAGCACAAGGGGGGAGCUUCCUGGAAGUUCCUAUGGUGCCACAGAGACGAAGGCUAUUAAUUCCAGCUGGGAGUAUCAGCCCCCAUAUUGCUGCAGACUGGAAAAUUACACCACACACAAACCCUGUCUUUGGAGCCAGGCCCGGCAGCUGGGAAGAUGGUCCCUAGGCCCCUUUCAAUUGUAUAAGAGCGGGCCUCCGAAAGGCAACACCCAAACAAAACAAGACAAGACAAGGCCAAAGCCCUCAUACUGAGACUGAACAAGGCAACCCAAUAGGAGAAGAGUCCCCAAACCAGACCAAAGAGUCAGAAAUACACCUGCUUCAACUCUUAGAAGUCUCACAGAGAUGCCAAGGCACAGCCAUAACAUGCAGAAAGGACAUGGGACAGACUCAUGCAGGCUCCGUGCUUGGUCCACCAGUCUCUGUGAGUCCAUGUGAACUUUGCUUAGUUGAUUCUGUGGGCCAUGUUCUCCUGGUGUCCUCCAUUCACUCUGGUCCUUCUGUCUUCUCCCCUCCCCCUCUUCCGUGGCGUUCCCUGAUCUCUGAGGGGACAGGCCCAAUAGAGACCACCAAUUUAAACUUUCUUUCUGCGCAUAGUCUAGCUGUGGGUCUCAGCACCUACUCUCAUCUGCUGUCAGAGGAAGUCUCUCUGAUGGUGACAGGACAGAAUGCCAACCUGAGUAUAGAAGAGUAUCAUUAGGAAUCAUUUCAUUGAUUUUUUUUUAAGAGACCAACCAUGUUUGGUUCAGCCCUAGGUCUCUGGAAUAUCCAGUCUUCAGUUUCUGGCCAUCCAAGCAAUGCCAGGCAUGGACUCCUUCUUGUGUAGUGGGCCUCAAGUUAAGUCAGACUUUGGUUGGCCAUUCCUACAAGUUCUGUGGCACCAUUGUCCCAGCAUAUCUGAUAGGCAGGACAGAUUGUAGGUGGAGGCUUCUGUGACUGAGUUGAGGGACAUCUAGGUUGUUUCCGGUUUCUGGCUCUCAUGUGUCAAACCACAGUGAACCCAGUUGAGCAAGGAGCACAAAGAAUUUUUAUUGGAGCCAAUGGCUCCGAUAGCGUUGUUAGACAGACAUGGAGCCAAAUUACUCUGAGAAGGAGGGGGUUGUGGAGGGUUGUGUCCUGAAAUGGGCACUUUAGGCAGGUGUGUCAGGGAACAGAUUAGCUUUCAGGGAAAAACCCCUGGAGUCAGGCAGCAGCUCUGGGUCUUGUGAAACGGCUUCUGCUGUCUUCCUGUGUUACCUUCAUAAGGACGGUCCUUGGCUUCUCCAAGACGAUUCUCCAAUUCUCUACUUUCCACACUGCUUCAUAGCCACGUGUUGGCCUUUGCGAAUGGCAUCAUCAGAUCCCCCUGCCUCUGCUCCUGGUUGAACUUGGUCAGGGAGAGCUGCCAGUGAAACAUGAGAAGUCAGGAUUUUCUUGCCCAUUUCUCUCCCCAUAGGUCACUGUAGGUUGUCACCACAGGCCCCAGCUCCCUCCAGGUGGUCCUCCUGUGCUCCUGCCUCCAGUCUGGAAUGGCCCUUGUUCCUUCAGCUCUGUCUGUGGAGUGGGAACGUGAGUUCCAUGCUGGGGCUGGCUGCGGGCUCUGCCUUAUCCUUUGCUAGCCUCUUUUUCUUUUUAGACAGGGUCUAACUUUAUAGUCUAGACUGAUCCGAAACUCGUGAUCCUCAGGUUCCAGUGUCCAGGGAUUGUCGUCAUAGGCAAACAUGCUCAACUCAGUAGCAUCUUUUAACCUUGUAAAUUCAUCCCUUUGUUAACACAUCCUGAGUUGCCCAGCGGGGUGAGCCAUUUCUUAACCACCAGGCUCUAGCUGAGGGCAGAGACAUUAGGACGUCAGAGAUGAGUAAGACACAGCCCUGUCCCCUGGGAUUUGACAGUGGCUGAAGGAACACAGAGCAUGCACAGAAAAGGAACAGGCUGCCCUGUUAAGCAAGUCUGCUAUGAGGCCAACUGUUGUGUUUCUCUCCAGAGAAAGCAAGAAAACAGGCCAGAGCAGUAGGGAGGACAGUUAGUUACUCUCUAACCAAGCACCUGACAGACAAGAGCAGGAAAAGUGAUUUCAGCUCUCAGUUUAGAAGGGACUGUCUAUCGUGACAGUUGGAAUGCUCAUUUUUUGGAGGUGAAAGUUCGCAGCAUAACUUGCUCCCAUCUGGAAGGCUCAGGGAGAGAGAAAGCCCUUGGAAGCCAGAAAGUAUUGCGUAUUCCCCAGUGUUCUACAACCUCCUGAAACAGUGUCAUCAUCUGGGGAACAGAUGUUCAAACAUGUGAGCUUCUAGGGGACAUUUCCAUCCAAAUGACAACAGGCAGCUUCUGAGAAAAAGAGGGUGGCUUGGCCAGGAUUUCAGGGUGGCCAGUGUUUGGGAUGUAGAGAAAGGAGACAGCAUGCUAGGUGGGAAGACUUGGGUUUAAGCAGAAAAGAUUUGGGACACCGGAGCCUGAGACUCCACCCCGAUGGACAGAGAAGCACAAACAGCCUGGGAUUUAGAGAGAAGACACCCCAGGUUCUGCUUACAUUUCUCCCUAAAACCUACGACAUAACCACUUCUUACUGUCUGAAAGAAUUGGUCACCAUGGAAGAUAUGAACAUGAACCAGUCUCUCUUUGGAGAAACCUUCAGUGUAACAGGCCUUAUUGCACUCAAAUGGCCCCCAUGAUACCCAUUUCUUAGUAUCUAGUCUUGUGUGGGCACCGGCUUGUCCCAUGGGGGAUGCUUGUCCUUAGCUUGGCAGAGGCAGGCUUGAUGGUGGUUGUGGCUGGGAGCGCAGAGAGGCCUUCAAUGGGAGAAUACAGUUGUGGCUCUGUAGGCAAAGGCCUUCCCCAGGUUCUUCACAGUGGAUCUUGAUGAAAGAGACACUCCAUGGUUCUAAACAGCUUAUUGUCAUGGCAGAAAGUGGAUGCAUAAAACCAUUCCCCACCUCUCAGGGUGGGCCUGAGAUUAAAUAUCUUUGCAGGGAACAAUGUCUGGGAUGGGAAGCUUAUUGGUUGAGCCCUCUGGGCCUCUAGGUACCUGAUUAGCAUGGAGAGCUCUGUUUUGAGCCUAUGUGACCAUAGGACACACUUCUUUUAUGUGAGAAGCAUGGCACGUGUCCCCGUCAGGAGUCUGGCAGGGAGCUGGGAGUCGCCAAAGCCUCAGGUGUGUGGCCACCAAGUCUCUGGGUCUCAACCUGCUCUAUCGUACCAAACUUCCUGGCAUGGUUUUACAUCCCGUGUGUAGUGUGUAGUGUGUAGUGUGUAGUGUGUGUGUGUAGUGUGUGUGUGUGUGUGUGUGUGUGUGUGUGUUACUUCCUUCAUGUUUUCAUUUUAUUGGCCUUGUUCACUAGCAUCUUUUUCUUACUUAAAUAUAAGUUCCCAGAGGCCAGGGACUUUGGUCUAUGUUGUUAACUGUCCUAUAAUCAGCACUCGGACUAGACCCUGCUGGUACUAAACAAGAACACCGUGAGUACUUUUGAAUGUGUAGUUAUGUAGACGACAAAAGGAUGAUAAAUGGACAUGAUGCACUCAUAAGUCCUUGGAACGGAGUGGUGGCAGGAGAGUGACAGCUAGAGAAGAAACUGGCAAGGAGCAGGACUUACAUAAGGGAGGGUGCAGGCAGCCCCAAGAAAGGCGAGGAGAAAGUCGACAGCUAGAAAGCAAAUAGGGUCUCUGUCAUCAGUCAAAAAUGGGGCUCUGGGGUGCCUUGGUGCACCGAAUUCUCCAGAAGAGCCAGCUGACAUCUUGAUUUUGGCCUCUGGGAGUCUGAGCAGGGAAUCAGAUGAGGCCACUGUGACCUCUCACCUGGAGGACUGUGGAGCAAUGGGUGACUCAAGUGGCUAAGUUUAUGGUGCUGUGUUAUGAUAGCAAUAGAAACAGAGGCCUGUUAACAAUUAGCGAUGGAGUCCAGCUGCUUCUUGUGAGAGUAGAGCCGUUGUCUCCUUGCAUCACCCAUGUGUGCCAGUGACUGGUGUGCUGAGUGUCUGCUCUAGAAACAGUUGAACCAAUGAGUAAGCCUCCAUUUUUCAGUAGGGUAAGCAUCAGUGGCUAGCCUUGAGAGCCAAUGGGCUGAUAGACUGGUCAGAGCCAAAAUUAGUUACACCAAGACAGUUUAAGCAGAUCCCUGGGGCCUCAGAGUGAAAGUUAGCUGCGAUUACACUGACAGUAUGCCCUGGAUUAAAAGACAUCACUGAUCUGGGCUUUAGUUUCCCUACCUGUUGAAUGGGCACAAUCACAGCACUCAUCUCCUAAGAUUUCCUAGUGAUGAACACUGAGAGUGUGUAUAAGUAGAGGACUUCUCAUACAGUGGGUGAUCAGCAAAUCUUUCCUUGUUGAGCACAAUGCUUUGGUGUUUUCCUGGGGACAGCUCUGGAUGUGUAUUUAAUGAGAAUUCCCUGUGUGGUGGAUACAAAUCUGAGUAAUAACCUUGCCUUGCUCCUGUUGUGGCCUAACAGUCCCAGCUGGAUUCAGGCCCUUGCUUCACCCUUCCCCAAACAGGGCUGGUUCCUCAAUCUACAUCACCCAGCGGCCAGAUUUACAGAAAUCAAAUGUAACUGAUACUGAAGAUGGUUGAGUGGAAUGGACUGCUUUGGAAAGGAAAGAAGAAAUUAAGUAUCCAGUGAUACCAAAAUUAUGCAUGAAACCCAACACACACACACACACACACACACACACACACACACAAACACACACACACAAACAAACACACACCCCACUCUGAAAAGGUUGGACAGUUAAACUAUCGUAAGAAUAGACACGAAAUAUUGCAUGGGGAGUUGGAGGCAAGAAGCACACAGAGACAUAAUGCACUGCAAAUGAAAGUCAUUUAUAAAGUGCAACAGGUACCCGAUAGAAGGAAAAUGAUUAGUCAGCAGAAGUGGGUGGCCUGUUACCUAUUCACAGGGUAUUGGCAUGGGACAAGAGAGAAUGUGUUUAUUGGGGACUUGCUGAUGUACAAGCAUUAAUGCUAGGCACUGAGGACACUAGGCUAAAUCGUUUGCCUGAAAAUAAUUUUUUUCUCAGUCCUGUAGUCACCUCUGGCAUUCUUUUUUUUAGGAAAUAUGUCCUCUCACAAGAUAGAAUCUUCAGCUCUGGGGCUGCCUCUGAUGGCUCUGUGACCAUGCAGGGCAGUGGAGCUUUCCUGAAGAGGUCACCACAAUCCUCCAGAGCUCACACAGCAUGGCCACCUCUGCUUUAUAGUGCUAACAGGGUCUCUGUGUUGGGCUUUUGCUCUGCCUGUUCAUAGUGGCUGAGAAUUCCAUGUCUGGGAUGCCCAAGGAGCUUGGAGGGCUCCGUUCAUCUCUCAGUCCCAAAGACAACUAGGCGUCAGCAAGCAGAACCUUUACUGAUGCCAAAUGAAUGGACACAUCUGGGAGGAAAAGUGAAUGAAGCCAGAGAAGGUACAGGGUAAGAUGAGACCUCCAUCGGGGAAAACCGAACAGUAUGCAGUGUGGGUGGGGAGAGGUGGAGGGAGAGACACAGAAACCUGCCCUGCUCAGACUGCAGACAGAGCAUGGGAAGCUUUAAGGGGCAGAAUGAGACAAUAUGCAGGACAUUCGAAAUGGUGCCUGGCACCUGGGAAACACUUCAAUAAUGUGAGGUUGAUUACUGCUACCUUUAUAUUAUGAGAAAUAUUAACAAUUUGUAUGUUUCUAGUUACUUUUCAUUAUCAAGGUGGCGUUUCUGAAUUUUAGAAUCAUCCCAAAAGCUUGUUGUUGCCAAGAGCUUGCUUUCUGAAUCUGUUAAAAAAAUAAAAAGCACAAGUAAGCCUCACAGGAUGGAUCACGACAGCACAAACUAAAAUCACCAUCACAUGGACGCUUUCUGAGAUCAAGGACACAGCCUGGUUCCAGGGAGCUUGAGAGAGACCUUGCCUAUGCUUCCCCAAUACAAUAAGGUCAUGGUGUCUGCAUCCCAGGGCACUGCGAGCUGCUUCUGAACUUUGCAAUGGGUGAUACGGCGCAACUCUGGGAAGUAUCCGAGUGGACCUGGAGAAGCUUGAGGUGCCAGAGACAGAAUUCCAUAGCAAACAUAACAGAAGCAACAGCAACAGUGGCUUGCCUGAGUCCCUACAAAAGAGGAGGUACCAGACCCAAGCUCCCCAAAACCACAACACAGUGGCAACUGGGUGUUUCUUUGUUUUGUUUCAUUUUUUGUUUUUUGUUAUCGUUGUUGUUUUUGUUGUUGUUGUUGUUUUGUUUCUUUCCUACCUGGCCAGUUUGCUUUUUUCCUCUUUGCUAACAGCAUUGCCAAGCAUUCUUUUCAGAGGCAGAGGUUUCUCAUUUCUAGAACGUGUUUUGGAUACAGCUGACUGAGCCUAACCUCACAGUAAAGCAUAGGACUCAGCCCUGCCCAUUGGUACUGACUUCAGAAAGGCCCGAAAGAACAUGUGACCCGAGUAAAAAAUCAAUCAGAUUCUGCUAUAGGAUGCUGCUGAAAUGGUUGUUCAUAGAUAACCUCAUUUUCUUUUUUUCCUUAUAAAAUGCAUAUAUUUAGUUUUACAUAUAUAUAAUGUAAACAUAUAAUAUAUGCAUUUUAUUUUUUUCUCCAUCUUUAUUAAAUUGGGUAUUUCUUAUUUACAUUUCAAAUGCUACUCCCUUUCCCGGUUUCCAGGCCAACAUCCCCCUAACCCCUCCCCUUCCCCUUCUAUAGAGGUGUUCCCCUCCCCAUCCUCCUCCCAUUACCACCCUCCCCCAAGAAUCCCAUUCACUGGGGGUCCAGCCUUGGCAGGACCAAGGGCUUCCCCUUCCACUGAUGCUCUUACUAGGGUAUUCAUUGCUACCUAUGAAUUUGGAGCCCAGGGUCAGUCCAUGGGUAGUGGCUUAGUCCCUGGAAGCUCUGGUUGGUUGGCAUUGUUGUUCAUAUGGGGUCUCAAGCCCCUUCAAGCUCUUUUAGUCCUUUCUCUGAUUCCCUCAACAGGGGUCCUGUUCUCAGUUCAGUGUUUUGCUGCUGGCAUUCGCCUAUGUAUUUGCUGUAUUCUGGCUGUGUCUCUCAGGAGAGAUCUACAUCUGGUUCCUGUCGGCCUGCACCUCUUUGCUUCAUCCAUCUUGUCUAAUUGGGUGGCUGUGUAUGUAUGAACCACAUAUGAGGCAGGCUCUAAAUGGGCAUUCCUUCAGUCUCUGUUCUAAACUUUGCCUCCCUAUCCCCUCCUAAGGGUAUUCUUGUUCCCCUUUUGAAGAAGGAGUGAAGCAUCCACAUUUUGGUCAUCCUUCUUGAGUUUCAUGUGUUCUGCGCAUCUUGGGUAAUUUGAGCAUUUGGGCUAAUAUCCACUUAUCAAUGAGUGCAUACCAUGUGUGUUUUGCUUUGAUUGGGUUACCUCACUCAGGAUGAUAUUUUCCAGUUCCAUCCAUUUGCCUAUGAAUUUCAUAAAGUCAUUUUUUGAUAGCUGAGUAGUAUUCCAUUGUGUACCUGUACCACAUUUUCUGUAUCCAUUCCUCUGUUGAAGGGCAUCUGGGUUCUUUCCAGCUUCUGGCUAUUAUAAAUAAGGCUGCUAUGAACAUAGUGGAGCAUGUGUCUUUGUUGUAUGUUGGAGUAUCUUUUGGGUAUAUGCCCAAGAGAGGUAUAGCUGGGUCCUCAGGUAGUGCAAUGUCCAAUUUUCUGAGGAACCUCCAGACUGAUUUCCAGAAUAUAACUUCAUUUUCUAUGGUCCAUGUAUUCUGGUGGUCACCAGAAAGAGAGGUCCUGCUUGGAGGAGAUCUUGCUUAGGUCUUGGCUGGGCCAGUGUAAGGCCAGGUUCUCAUUCUGUCGUUUCAGACUUCUGCAUCUAGCAGAAUUUGAAACCAGUCAUCCUGCUGGAGGAAGAAAUAAUAGACAGGUAGACAAUAGAUGAAUGGAUAACGACAGAUUUGGAUAGACAGUAGGGGGUAUGUGAUAAGGAAGAAUGACAGAUAUGGGUAGACAACAGAUACAUGCAGAUUUAUAAAUAAAAAGAUUAAUGAUAGUUAUGUAGAUAUAGAGAUAAAUCAAUAGGUGGUAUAGAGAAGGAGGGUCGUUGGGUGACAGACGAACACACAGAUACAGAGACAUGACGAUAGAUCAACACAUAGGUGACUGGGCAAAUAGCUUACACUGGCUCCAAUUGAGUUUGUGUCACUCAGAACUGGAAGACUUCCAAAAGAAAUAAAGUCUGUUCUUUUCUA